AAUGUUUUGAACUUGCCCUAGUUCGCAUUUUUCUACGUAUAUAAAAUAACCCCCCCAUUAGUGGGUAGCUGUAAUUAGGGGUUUUAAAGAUAAAUACGAGCGCCGAUAUUUAUCCUCUACUCCCUAAAAAUAGCACAGUUAAAAUGAAUAAAGCGGCAACCUAGGUUGCCGCUUUAUUCAUUUUUAA
rnacentral:misc_RNA from 1 species